CCCACGCCCAUUCAGAUUCCCUAGGCCGGGACCCCACGUUUGUAACAAGCCCCAAGUGACUCUGAUGCAGGGAAACACAGCCUCAUUUGCAACCCACCGCCACAGGCAUCAGGAAACCAGGGGUCUCCCCAACUGUUCCUAGCUCGCCCCCACCCACGGCCUGCAGGGAGGGCGCCCUGAGCAUGCAAGUGGACAAGCAAUGGGGGAAGUGUGAGAUUGGAUCGGAGCAGGAGGAGCCCAGUCGCAGGGAAGCACUUAGGAGUUUGCUGUUUUCUGACACAGUGACAGGUGUCAAGGGCCCUUAGCAGUGUCUUGAAGGACACUUUUAUUGUUGUGGAAUCCAUACACUAACCUCAAGUCUUGAGAACUAUAGGUAGGUUAUGUACUCAUCAGAUAUUUAAGUGCCAAGUAUCGUGCAAGGCACUGUAUUCAGUGCUUUGGGAUUUGGGAUUUUGCUAUUAAAAAAAAAAAAGAUUUAGAAAAUUAAUAUAGGAUUGCAAAUUUUUAAUUUUUAUUUUGCCUAUUAUGGAAUUUUUAAAAAUUGCCAUCAUAAAAGAAGAGACUAAUUAUGUUCUUUUAAUUUUAUUUUAAAUUUGUAUUUAUUCAUUUUUGAAUAGGUAUUACCAAAAUGUACAAAAGAUUGCACUGGAAAAAUAAAUGUCCCUCCCACAGAGGCAACCACUAUUACUAGAGAAAAGCCAUUUUAACACCAAAAAAGUGGAAGGACAUAAUCUCAGAGAAAAAGAGAGUUUUCUCCUAAAAAAGAGCAGUUGGGAAAAACAUGUGCCUAUAUUUUUCCUUUCUUUAUUCAUCCAUUUAUUUAUUUACCAAGUAUUUUUUACAUUCCUUCUAUGAAUUAGGUAUUGUUUCAGGUGCAGGAGAUACAUCAGAUAACAGGAAAGUGUGAAUACUGUAGCCUGCCCUCUUGCAGUUUACACUCUUCUGGGACUCAGUCUGAAGCUGGGACGUCUACUAGAAGGCCACAUGAAUGAACUGGGAAACCCCAAGAGCAGUUGAGGGAAGAGGGUCUCAUCUCAGAGGCCCAAGAGUUCCUCGGGGUUACUCCGGGCACUCGGGAUGCAAAACUGAGCAUGAGAGAAACCAGCUAAAUCUGUCUGCCAUUUGCGUGCUUCCCUGUCGUCUUCCAAGCGUCUGGGUGAGCCUCUGAACGGAAGCAGCAGCGGAGCUGUGGUAAUUACUGGGGCUCUGACCAUGGCUCUCCAAUCAGGAGCUCUGUUGGGAAGCAUGAGCCUCAGCCUUUACACUUUAAAAAAAUUAAUGGACUACUAUUUUUUAAAUUAAUAGUCUUUAUUAUUUUUUAAGGCGUUUUAGAUUUAUGGAAAAGUUUUCAUAUAUGCCCUUAUCCACCCAUUUCCCUUAUUAUUGAUAUCUUGCAUUAGUGUGACAAUUUCAUAAUUGAUGAAUGCAUAUCGAUACAUUAUUAUUAAUUAAAGUCAAGUUUACAUUAA